rnacentral:rRNA from 1 species
GAACGGUGAAGGGAUCAGCNUUGCUGGUUCUGGAUGAGUGGCGAACGGGUGAGUAACACGUGAGUAACCUGCCCCCUUCUUCUGGAUAACCGCAUGAAAGUGUGGCUAAUACGGGAUAUUCUGGGUCUGUCGCAUGGCGGGCCUGGGAAAGAUGCGCCUUUGGGUGUUUUUGGUGGGGGAUGGGCUCGCGGCCUAUCAGCUUGUUGGUGGGGUGAUGGCCUACCAAGGCGGUGACGGGUAGCCGGCCUGAGAGGGUGGACGGUCACACUGGGACUGAGACACGGCCCAGACUCCUACGGGAGGCAGCAGUGGGGAAUAUUGCACAAUGGGCGCAAGCCUGAUGCAGCGACGCCGCGUGAGGGAUGGAGGCCUUCGGGUUGUAAACCUCUUUCGCCAGUGAAGCAGGCCUGUCCCUUGUGGGUGGGUUGACGGUAGCUGGAUAAGAAGCGCCGGCUAACUACGUGCCAGCAGCCGCGGUAAUACGUAGGGCGCGAGCGUUGUCCGGAAUUAUUGGGCGUAAAGAGCUCGUAGGCGGCUGGUCGCGUCUGUC